UACUUUAUGGUGUCUCAUUCAGAGCUGUUGUCAUUAAUAUUUAUCUGUGUUUGCCAACCGCUAGCGGUUUGUGUUGUGGCCACUGUUCCUGCAAAGAGCCGUGGAUCACUGCCUGCCCUGUACCUCAAGUACGUAGGAACCUUUGUCCUUUACCUGUGUGACCUGCCUUUGAAAAGGGAUUUGACUUUCUGGCUUACCGUGUUUGAACAAGUGCUGGACAUUGCUUUGAUUCAUAUCCUUGCGUGGGUAACCAAGAAGCUGGCUCUGCAUCGCACAGCUUCUGCAAAUAAUGUUGUCUCAGGCUGAGCCUAAAUCAGCUUCCCACUGAACUGGAUGCUGCAGUUAGAAAUGAACUCUGCCCCUGAACAAGACAGUUAUUAUUCUCCUGUACAGGUGAGAUAAGGAGGCACGAAGAUUAAGCACCUCACAAAAUAUCUGAGACUGGUUGUGUUCCAACUAGAUCUUCUGAAUGACAACAUCGGGGCUCAACCCAAACAUCUCCUUGUCUCCAUGUGCUGCUUUUUGGCUCCAAAUGGGAAGACAGCCAGCAUCAGUACCUCUGCUGAAGCUGUAAGAGCCCACUUUGUGGACAGAGGUGAUGUUUUUAAGAACAUAAAUGUUAAAUUUGGAGAAAACAAACAAACGAACAUACAAGUCUUUCAUUGGAGCUUAGAAUACCAGGAGAAAGCACUUUGUAAGUAAACGUUGCAGGUAAUAAAGGCUUGGUGUCACAAGG